rnacentral:rRNA from 1 species
GGCAUUUUGGACAAUGGGCGAAAGCCUGAUCCAGCCAUGCCGCGUGAGUGAAGAAGGCCUUCGGGUUGUAAAGCUCUUUCGGUCGGGAAGAAAUAGUUGUGGCUAAUAUCCACAAUGAAUGACGGUACCGACAUAAGAAGCACCGGCUAACUACGUGCCAGCAGCCGCGGUAAUACGUAGGGUGCAAGCGUUAAUCGGAAUUAUUGGGCGUAAAGGGUGCGCAGGCGGUUGUAUAAGUCAGAUGUGAAAUCCCUGGGCUUAACCUAGGAAUUGCGUUUGAAACUAUAUGACUAGAGUGUGACAGAGGGGAGUGGAAUUCCAUGUGUAGCAGUGAAAUGCGUAGAGAUGUGGAAGAACACCGAUGGCGAAGGCAGCUCCCUGGGUUAACACUGACGCUCAUGCACGAAAGCGUGGGGAGCAAAC